UACGUAGGGUGCAGGCGUUAAUCGGAAUUACUGGGCGUAAAGCGUUCGCAGGCGGUCUUUUAAGUCAGAUGUGAAAUCCCCGGGCUUAACCUGGGAACUGCGUUUGAAACUGGAAGGCUUGAGUGUGGCAGAGGGGGGUGGAAUUCCACGUGUAGCAGUGAAAUGCGUAGAGAUGUGGAGGAACACCGAUGGCGAAGGCAGCCCCCUGGGCUAACACUGACGCUCAUGCACGAAAGCGUGGGGAGCAAACAGG
rnacentral:rRNA from 1 species